rnacentral:rRNA from 1 species
AUGGCCCCGGCGGCGCCGUUGGCAUUGGUGCUGCUGUUGUCGUGCGUGGCGGUGGCCAAGGAGUGCACGAACGUGCCGACGCAGCUGUCGUCGCACACGGUGCGGGCGCGGCUGCAGAGCACGCCGGGGGCGGAGGAGUGGCGGUGGCGGGAGCUGUUCCACGACCACCUCAACCCCACCGACGAGUCCGCGUGGAUGGACCUCCUCCCCCUCGCCGGCAGCACAACGGCGGCGGCGGCGGCGGAGGAGUUCGACUGGGCGAUGCUGUACCGGACGCUCAAGGGCGGCGUCGGCUCCUCGGCGGCGCAGGCCGGGGCGUCGCCCUCGUCGUCGUCGUCGUUCCUGGUGGAGGCGUCGCUGCACGACGUGCGGCUGGACCCCGGCGACGAGGUGUACGGGCGCGCGCAGCAGACCAACCUCGAGUACCUGCUGCUCCUGGACGUGGACCGGCUGGUCUGGAGCUUCCGGAGGCAGGCCGGGCUGCCGGCGCCCGGCGCGCCCUACGGCGGCUGGGAGGGCGCCGUCGUCGAGCUCCGGGGCCACUUCGUCGGGCAUUACCUGAGCGCGGCGGCCAAGAUGUGGGCGAGCACGCACAACGGCACGCUCGCCGGCAAGAUGUCCGCCGUGGUGGACGCCCUCCACGCGUGCCAGCAGGCGCCGGCCAACGGCGGCACCGGCUACCUCUCCGCCUUCCCCGCCGAGUUCUUCGACCGCUUCGAGGCCAUCCAGCCCGUCUGGGCUCCCUACUACACCAUCCACAAGAUCAUGCAGGGCCUCCUGGACCAGUACACGGUGGCUGGCAACGGCAAGGCCCUGGCCAUGGUGGUGGCCAUGGCCGGCUACUUCGGCGAGCGCGUGAGGAGCGUGAUACAGCGGCACAGCAUCGAGCGGCACUGGACGUCGCUCAACGAGGAGACCGGCGGCAUGAACGACGUGCUCUACCAGCUCUACGCCAUCACGCAUGAUCAGCGGCACCUGGUGCUCGCCCACCUUUUCGACAAGCCGUGCUUCCUGGGAUUGCUCGCAGUUCAGGCUGACAGUCUCUCGGACUUCCACGCCAACACGCAUAUUCCGAUCGUCGUCGGCGGGCAAAUGAGAUACGAGGUUACCGGUGAUCCUCUCUACAAGGAAAUCGCAACAUUCUUCAUGGACGUGGUAAACUCUUCUCACACCUACGCAACCGGCGGCACGUCCGUCAGUGAAUUCUGGUUCGAUCCGAAGCGUUUAGCCGAGACCCUGACCACCGAGAACGAGGAGUCCUGCACUACAUACAACAUGCUCAAGGUAUCUCGCCACCUCUUCAGAUGGACCAAAGAGAUCGCGUACGCGGACUACUACGAGCGCGCGCUGAUAAACGGCGUCCUGAGCAUCCAGAGAGGGAGGGACCCCGGUGUCAUGAUCUACAUGCUGCCCCAGGGCCCCGGAAGAUCGAAGGCGGUGAGCUACCAUGGCUGGGGGACGCAGUAUGAUUCCUUCUGGUGCUGCUAUGGGACUGGGAUAGAGUCAUUUUCCAAGCUUGGCGACUCCAUCUACUUUGAGGAGAAAGGCGGCAAACCGGCGCUAUAUAUCGUUCAGUACAUACCGAGCACGUUCAAUUGGAGAUCUGUAGGCCUUACUGUCACUCAGCAAGUGAAGCCCCUCAGCUCAUCUGAUCAGAAUCUUCAGGUUUCGCUCUCCAUAUCGGCGAAGACGAACGGUCAGUACGCGACGGUGAAUGUGAGAAUUCCGUCGUGGGCAUCUGCGAAUGGUGCGCAAGCAACUUUGAAUGACAAAGAUUUGCAAAUGGCAUCUCCAGGAACCUUCCUCUCAGUCACCAAGCAGUGGGGGAGUGGUGGUCACCUCACACUCCAGCUGCCUAUUAGCCUGAGGACAGAAGCUAUAAAAGAUGAUCGGCCGGAGUAUGCGACUCUCCAAGCAGUCCUCUUCGGGCCAUUCCUCCUCGCCGGCCUCACGACCGGAGACUGGGACGCGAAGGCCGGCGGCGCCGCCAUCUCGGAAUGGAUCACCCCUGUCCCGGCAUCGUACAACUCCCAGCUGGUGACGCUCACGCAGGAAUCCGGCGGCAGCACCUUGGUCCUCUCCCUCCUGUCGACCGCGAAAGGCACCUCCGUGACGAUGCAGCCGCGGCCCGAGGGCGGCGGGACCGACGCCGCCGUGCACGCCACGUUCCGUCUGGUCACCCAGGGGCAGGGCGCCCCGCCGACGGGCGAGCGGCGCCCCGCCACCAACGGCACUGCCGCCACGGCGACGCCCGCCUCCGCGCUGAUCGAGCCGUUCGACAUGCCGGGAAUGGCGGUCACCAACAACCUGACGCUGUCGGCGGAGAAGGGCCCGAGCUCUCUGUUCAACGUCGUUCCCGGGCUCGACGGGGCGCCCGGGUCGGUCUCCCUCGAGCUCGCGGCCAGGCCGGGGUGCUUCCUGAUCACCGCCGGCGCAAAGGCGAAUGUUCAGGUCGGCUGCGGCGGCGGCACGGGGUUUUCCCCGCAGGCGGCGAGCUUCGCGCGGGCCGAGCCGCUGCGGCGGUACCAUCCGAUCAGCUUCGCCGCCAAGGGGGCGCGGAGGGGCUUCCUCCUGGAGCCAUUGUUCACGCUGAGGGACGAGUUCUACACCGUCUACUUCAACGUCGGCGCCUGA